rnacentral:rRNA from 1 species
AUAACGAUUGGAAACGAUCGCUAAUACCGCAUGACAUAGCGGAACCGCAUGGUUUUGUUAUCAAAGAUUUUAUCGCUGAUAGAUGGGCUCGCGUCCGAUUAGAUAGUUGGUGGGGUAACGGCCUACCAAGUCGACGAUCGGUAGCCGGACUGAGAGGUCGAACGGCCACAUUGGGACUGAGACACGGCCCAGACUCCUACGGGAGGCAGCAGUGGGGGAUAUUGCACAAUGGGGGAAACCCUGAUGCAGCGACGCCGCGUGAGGGAAGACGGUCCUCUGGAUUGUAAACCACAGACUUCGGGGACGAAACGAGACGGUACCCGAGGAGGAAGCCACGGCUAACUACGUGCCAGCAGCCGCGGUAAUACGUAGGUGGCAAGCGUUGUCCGGAAUUACUGGGUGUAAAGGGAGCGUAGGCGGGCAGGCAAGUCAGGCGUGAAAUAUAUCGGCUCAACCGGUAACGGCGCUUGAAACUGCAGGUCUUGAGUGAAGUAGAGGUUGGCGGAAUUCCUAGUGUAGCGGUGAA